rnacentral:rRNA from 1 species
CCCUUAGAUGUUCUGGGCUGCACGCGCGCUACACUGAUGCGAUCAACAAGUUUUUCCUAUGUCGAUAGACACGGGUAAUCUUUUGAACUCGCAUCGUGAUGGGGAUAGAUUAUUGUAAUUAUUAAUCUUCAACGAGGAAUUCCUAGUAGGUGCAAAUCAUCAGUUUGCAUCGAUUACGUCCCUGCCCUUUGUACACACCGCCCGUCGCCGCUACCGAUUGGUUGAUCUGGUGAAUUAUUCGGACUGCCGGCUGAAGGGGUUUCCUCAUCUGCCAGCGGAAAGUCUUGUUAACCCUAUCAACUAGAGGAAGCAGAAGUCGUAACA